UCAACUUCAACCCUGUAAAUUUGGAAUCGAUUCUAAAACUAUUAAAGUUUACAAAAAAUUACCUAUAUUUUUUUCAACUUCAACCCCCUAAAUUUGGAAUUGACCUCUAAUUAGGACCUGGAUUUCCCCAAAUUUUGUCCCUUCCAACAUUCAACAAAGAGAACCCCCGUAUUUUCAAAUUACUCUUUCGAGCAAUCACUUCCUCAGGCGAAAAUAUAGGUGUAAGUAGACAAAUAUGAAUAUAAAACCAACAGUUGCAUUGAGAGCCAUUCUUGUCGGAGGAAUAGCUGCUUUUGCAAAAAUUGGUGGUGCUGUUAAAGCUGCAGGAGGUGUAAAAUUAGGUGCAGCAGCUGCUGCCAUGACUGCUGCAGCAACAGCAGCCGUAUCAGGAUCAAAACAAGAAGAAAAGAAGGAUGGUUCUCAGCAGUUGUCAUCUAAGUGAUGCACACAGCCCAUGUUAUUUUUUCUCCUAUGUUACUUAUAAAUUGUCAAAAUAAAAGCUGUAGGGUGGUGGAAUAUGCCAGUCAAAUGGUUUACCAAUAUGAUCUUAAAUAGCUGAGAUAUACGGGUCCUUACAACUGCGGGAUUUGUUAGUUCUGUACUAAUGGAAGUAGGAUUUUGUUGAAGUGAAAAAAAUCAUCACUCAGCUUCGGGGUAGAUGCAGUUUGUUUGCUCUACCUGAGGUAUGUAAUUGUUUUGUACCAGUAAAAGAUGUAUUACUGCUUCUGUGCUACUUUCAGAAGCAAUGUUUAUGUUUUUGUAAGGUUUUAAAACAUGGGGUCUCUUAAUAAACCAAUUUGAACUUUGAA